AGUGAACGCUGGCGGUAGGCCUAACACAUGCAAGUCGAACGGCAGCACAGUAAGAGCUUGCUCUUACGGGUGGCGAGUGGCGGACGGGUGAGGAAUACAUCGGAAUCUACUUUUUCGUGGGGGAUAACGUAGGGAAACUUACGCUAAUACCGCAUACGACCUACGGGUGAAAGCAGGGGAUCUUCGGACCUUGCGCGAUUGAAUGAGCCGAUGUCGGAUUAGCUAGUUGGCGGGGUAAAGGCCCACCAAGGCGACGAUCCGUAGCUGGUCUGAGAGGAUGAUCAGCCACACUGGAACUGAGAUACGGUCCAGACUCCUACGGGAGGCAGCAGUGGGGAAUAUUGGACAAUGGGCGCAAGCCUGAUCCAGCCAUACCGCGUGGGUGAAGAAGGCCUUCGGGUUGUAAAGCCCUUUUGUUGGGAAAGAAAAGCAGCAGGUUAAUACCCCGCUGUUCUGACGGUACCCAAAGAAUAAGCACCGGCUAACUUCGU
rnacentral:rRNA from 1 species